rnacentral:misc_RNA from 1 species
AUGAGUAGUUUUGGACCCGUGUCUGCCGGUAGGUCCCCCGUCUUUGUGCGGCCGACUACCGGCGCCGUGUCCCUUCAAUGGUGUGGCUUAUGUUACUGUUGCCUUUCGAGUGCUUGCAUGCUGGUACCCGUCCUCCGGGAAGUGGUGCGUUGUACACAGUUGCCUCGUGGUGGACGCCUUCGGGUGUGUUGCUGCGGCCAAACGGCGCUUGCGGCGUUGCCUCGUGGUGCUGGCACGUUCUCGUGCCCGGUGCUACCACGGCAGCCUUGCUCUCGCUGUUGGUUUCGGAUGUCGCUCACGAUAAAUGCUCAUGGCCCCUUUGGUUGCCUUGACAAGACCCUAAAUAUGCCCCCUCGUUGAGAAAACCCGUGAACAGGUGUUGCCUCUACCUCUCCACAGUUAGUGGUAGGAUACGCAACAUUCUGCGCCGAUCCUCAACUCGUAGGUGGGAUAUUGGCCCGCUCAAUUGCGACAACCGGCACGGCGGUUGACUCUGCCUUUCCACGCAAGUGGACGGGUGAGCARCUACCGGAGCUGGAUGUCCAAGAGGAAGUGCU